rnacentral:tRNA from 1 species
GUUUUAAUAAUUUAAUGAAAAUAUUAGUCUUGUAAACUAAAAUUAGGUAUAUCCUUUAAAACU